GACGAACCGAGCGAACGUUGUUCGGAAUCACUGGGCUUAAAGCGUGUGUAGGCGGAUCGUUAAGUGCCUUGUGAAAUCCCAUGGCUUAACCAUGGAACUGCUCGGCAUACUGGCGGUCUUGAGCCAUCUAGGGGCUACCGGAACAAAUGGUGGAGCGGUGAAAUGCGUAGAUAUCAUUUGGAACGCCAAUGGUGAAAACAGGUAGCUGGGGAUGUGCUGACGCUGAGACACGAAAGCCAGGGGAGCGAACGGG
rnacentral:rRNA from 1 species